AGAAGACCUCCCGUAAAUCAAGGCUUGAAGCAAACGCAAAUUGUAAAAAAGCGGGAUGACGUGUUGACCGUCACCCCGC
rnacentral:sRNA from 1 species